CUCCCGUUCCGCGCGCUCUAGUUCCGAAAGUACCUUUUUUAGACCGGACUGGGGCUCAGAGGGGUUUCCAUGACUACGGGACUCCUCCGACCGGUACCCUGCAGAUGCUUGUCAGAAAUUGGCUUGGAGGCCGGGCUCGGUGGCUGACGCCUGUAAUCCCAGCACUUUGGGAGGCCGAGGCGGGCGGAUCACGAGGUCAGAAGAUCGAGACCAUCCUAGCUAACACGGUGAAACCCCGUCUCUACUAAAAAUACAAAAAAAAAAAAAAAAAAAAAAUUAGCCGGGAGUGGUGGCGGGCGCCUGUUGUCCCAGCUACUCGGGAGGCUGAGGCAGGAGAAUGGCGUGAACCCGGGAGGCAGGGCUUGCAAUGAGCCAAGAUCGCGCCACUGCACUCCAGCCUGGGCGACAGAGCGAGACUCCGUCUCAGAAAAAAAAAAAAAGAAAGAAAUUGGCUUGGAGAUUUUUCGCCGGCCACUCCUUCUUGAGCCCUGACUGAAAAGAAAAAUGAACAGGGCUACCUUCUGCCUGGACUCACCCAAAAGCCGGUCUCCUGCAGCCUGAAGCUCUUGUACCUCUAGGCUGAAGAUGAUGAGGAUCACAGGAGGAGGAAGGCUGCCAACUUCAUGUUGCUGUUGGAAGGCUUUGGAAAAACACAGCAGGGCUGAGAGCAGCUGAAAUUUAUACCUUCCACCCGCUGAGCUGGAAUGCAAGGCCAGGGGUGGGACUAGGGACUGCAGACACCUAAGCCCUGCCCAGAAACUGACAUUUCUGGAGAAUAGCCACCCACCCUGUGUACCCUGGGUCCUUCUACAUUACCUAAGCAAGGCUCUGAGCCAAGGGAACGCCCUCCUCUGACAGAAAAAUAAGACUCCUACACCAGGCCAGUUGCAGUGGCUCACAUCUGUAAUCCCAGCACUUUGGGAGGCCAAGGCAGGAGGAUCAUUUGAGCCCAGGAGUUCAAGACCAGCCUGGGUAACAAGAGCAAGACCCUGUCUCUACAAAAUUAAAAAAAAAAAAAGUUAAAUAAUGAAAAA
rnacentral:lncRNA from 1 species